CUUUUAGAAGGAUUUGCCUUCCGAUAUGCAUCGCGAUUGAAGAGCCCUUUUUGUGUUCAUAGGUUCUCACUUAUAAUCUUUUCUUGCUUUCAAUGGAGAAAACUUUUCUUCCUUUUAUUACUCUUUUUCUCUAUACCCAUUAAUCUUCUUUGAUUAACUUUUAGAAAAGUUUAAAAGUACACAGAGAAUAAUAGAAUUUGAAGCAAAUUCAACAUACCUAUCUGACCAAGCAACUCAAUUU
rnacentral:misc_RNA from 1 species